UUAAAGAAUGUUAUUUUUGCAAUGGCCCAUUUAAUGUUUCACUCGCCAAAUAACUUUCCGUAAAUUCUUUAAACAACGUACGAGUACCAUUCCGAAUACACGAAAGUAAUACCGAAAUAACGGCAGUUACAUAUUAUGUACGAAGUGAGUUACAACAGUCGUUACAUUAUGCAGCGCGGGGAAGGUAGGCAGUGCUUUACCCCGUUUUAUUUUUAACACAAUCGUCGCCGGGGCCGGGCGCCGGGCCUACUGCUGCUGCCUGAAAAUCGAUAGGGUUUGCUUCCGACGGAGCAGCUAUGCGAUUCUGUAACAAACACAUCAUCGAUGCUAACAACGACGAGUUCACAGAUGUCGCAUCGUAGACAUCGCUUUUAAAAACAACGUUGAUGAAAACCGUAUUCUCUUAGCUCAAAAGCUCGUCGACGAUCUGCCGAACAACGAUGACGGGUAGGAUGUUUACAGUGUUGCCAAAUUUCUUCUAAAGCAAUUUAAAGUAUAAUCGAGAAAAUCUCGACUAACGUUUUUUGGCGUUAUUUCGACAUUUUAAAUCAAUGUAAAUGCAUAAUAUGUAUGUAUAAAACACAUUCUAUUCGAUAAGCAACGAAUAUUUAAUUAAUCAUAUCAUUUUCGACAUAGAAAAUGAUGACUCAAAUCUUUGACAUUUGUUAUAAUCUAGGUUAUGUAGUAUAAUAUAUAGUCUGUGUCAUUUCAAAACUUUUCAAAAUCAAAACAAACAUUUUGCUCAUAACUGGAUUAUAUCUUUAUUUAUCUAAAUACGAGAUUUCAAAGCUCCAAAUGGCUUUAAGCGGUCAAGUGGACUUUAAAAAAAGUUGUACCCCUGACCAACGGCAUUCUACUUGUCCUGUGUUUUAGUUUGGUUCCAAAACUUUCGAAGUGUCUCGCAACGCACUGCCUUCGUUGAGUCAGCUGGAAGAGCUAGUAAGCUUUUUGGAAAGCAAACCAUGUUUGAUUAUGAUGGGCCAUGAUCGUACUGCAAUGCGAGCAGUCAUCAGGCACGAUCCGAAAACAAGUGACGUAGUGGGUGUAUGAAAAUAUUGGAGCAGUGGUGUAAGCACUAGAAGGACAAAAGGGAGCAGUUCAGAGGAAGUCCAGUUCUAUAGCAGCUGCGAGGCAACAUGAAGAAUUUGUCAGAACUCGGUGUAAUUGAGUUAACAAUACAUUCCAUUAUGCGAGGAGAAUGUUUUGGAAUCUGAAUUUAGAUAAAUAAAUCCAUGUUCAUUAUAAAAUACAAAAUAAUAAAAAGACAUGUUGAAUUAAAA